rnacentral:misc_RNA from 1 species
UUUCUGUCUUACUUAUGAUCUCAAAGCUGAAGAAGAGACAAGUUCUUGGAAGAAGCUGAUAAAUGUCUCUGUUUCUGGUGCUGCCGGAAUGAUCGCUAAUCAUUUUCUUUUUAAACUUGCAUCAGGUGAAGUUUUUGGGCCAGAUCAACCAGUCGCAUUAAAAUUAUUGGGGUCUGAGCGGUCGAUCCAAGCCCUUGAAGGAGUUGCUAUGGAGUUGGAGGAUUCUUUAUUUCCUCUUCUGAGAGAGGUAAACAUAAGCAUCAAUCCAUAUGAGGUGUUCCGAGAUGUAGAAUGGGCACUUCUGAUUGGAGCAAAGCCCCGAGGCCCAGGAAUGGAGCGUGCCGGCUUAUUAGAUAUUAAUGGGCAAAUUUUUGCUGAG